UACAGAGGUCUCAAGCGUUGUUCGGAUUCAUUGGGCGUAAAGGGUGCGUAGGUGGCGCUGUAAGUCGGGUGUGAAAUUUCGGAGCUUAACUCCGAAACUGCAUUCGAUACUGCGGUGCUUGAGGACUGGAGAGGAGACUGGAAUUCAUGGUGUAGCAGUGAAAUGCGUAGAGAUCAUGAGGAAGACCAGUGGCGAAGGCGGGUCUCUGGACAGUUCCUGACACUGAGACACGAAGGUCAGGGGAGCAAACGGG
rnacentral:rRNA from 1 species